AGGUUGUGUUGAGGACACUUCCUCAUGAGCUUCUUGAGACGCUCUCAAGCUUCAUAAAGAUUCUCAUCAGGUGUUUGAGAGAAAGUCAUAAUGUCAUUCUUCAACUU